GCCACAUGAUGAAUAUAGAUGGGUUGAGCACUUUUGUGCAAAGAUGACCACUUAUCUAUCACCCUUUUCUGAUGGCU